ensembl:lncRNA
CUCGGUAUUUCCCUGUUAAAAUACGCCGCGUUCGACUCCAAAGCAGCACAAUUAAUGCACUCAGUACACAAAAAGAUCGGGUGGCAUUUUUGUUUUAGAUUAAGCUGAAAGAAGAUCCAGUCCAACUAAACCCAGAGACACUAAUGUCACAUUUAAAAUGAAGAUUUUUGUUUUUUUCAGCAGACUUCAGGCAUUUUUCCCAGCAUCUCAACUGGAACGCUCUUUGCACCAAACACGGAUAGUCUUUUUUCUUUUUCAGGGUAUCAAGCGGUUGUAAUUAGCCAUCAGGGCAAGACUGAGGACACGACGGCAGUAGUACCACAGCCGUGGGUUUGAAGAGUGUGUGUGUGUGUGUGUGUGUGUGAGAAUGUUGGCAUUCAGCCCGGUGUAUCAUCCCAUCGAUCACGCGAGGCGUCCAAAAGCCUUCAGUGAGCGCUGGUCUCGUUUCCGAUCGAUGGCGUCAAAGGGUCAAGGUUAGCAUGUCUUCAGGCGCGGAGAGGCAAAACCCCCAAAUCCCACCGAGGGGACGGACUGUUGCCACGAACGGGGCGAAGACAAGAGCUCACGCCCUCCCACAGCGCGCGUUCCGCCUUCUGUGCGUGAGGUCCUCUCGGUCUUGCUCUCAUAUCCCUCAGCGUCCAUAAGCACAUAGAUGCAUUCAUGUACCUUUAUACGAUACCGCUACGAAAAGUUGAGACCUUCUUGAACAUUGUGGACAUGGGCAUCGCAACCAGCUUUGAGCCCCCCGCCCCUCCCUACCCUCCCCUGCAGGGGAAGGCGAUAUUGUUUGCCCAACUUGCGUCAGGUCAGAUCCUUAGAUUCUCCGAGAGUAAUAAAAACACAGGAUCGAUCGCCGGCUUGGGGGUUUAUCUGGAUCGGAGUGUUCAAAGUGGGAGGUAGGGCCUCCCCAGGGAGUCUCACUAAACAGUCUCACUAAAUUAAAGGGAAUAAAGACUUUUGUUGAUGAGAUAGAAGAACGGAAGAAUUUAACUUCUUUCCCCCUAGAAACUAAUAAAUGGGUCGGCCAAACCUUUUCGAAGCUUAUAUGAGAGCCUUGUGGAGACACUUUUACUCACCAACCUUAAGUAAUUUAAGUCCUCUAAACUCUGGGAAACCGCAUCUGAGGGCAUUUAUACACCUACUGGCACUGAAUGUGUGGAUGAUCUGGUACAUUUCAGACAAGCGGGCACUUGUAACAACAGCAGAUUGGCAAUUAGCCGGACCUGCAGGCCGAAUACGGAGGUUGCUCCAAGGUUGGACAAAAAGAAAACUCGACAUAUCGACUCCUUCCUCUCUCUCCCAAUAAAUGUCAGAGAGGCCAGGGGAGAAAUGCGAGGGACGCAGGGGAAAACAGUCGCACCCUGUGAAUUUAGAAAGCAGCGUGCUUAAUUUACUGAGUGCAAUAUCUGUGUUCUUUACACAUCCAAAGUAAACAGCCUGUGGACUUUUUUAUUGGAGCAUUACCUCAGGUUUUUUCGCACAGCAAGCUUUUUUAAACCCGGCUGCUGUGGCUUAAAGAGGGAAAAAACAGCCUUUUCCAUUAAAACUACAACAGAUUCCCUAUUAUUGGCUGUAAAUGAAUUGGGCACUAUGAGCUGGUGGAAUGAAUGGGGCUUUGAUUGGUUUAACUGAAGACAUGAGGUCCCGGUCGUGCCAACGAUGAGUCCCUUGGAGCGCGACCAAGUAUGAAGUUAUGGGGCUCCUGGUGUGAGAGUGAGAAGUAUGUGUGGGGGGAGGCUAAUAAAGAACACUGGAUUAUGCGCCCCAAGAUAGAGUCCUUAAUCCCCAUCCUGAACAUGUCUCACAUGUGGCAGCCACAUCGUUGUAAAUUCAGUUCACCAUUUUUGACUGGUGAAUUAUUUGUAAUUUAAGAACACCAGCCGAUGUGACCAGCGAAGGCCCCAUUCAAGAAAACCUUAAACACGACUUGUCCGUGGAGCGGCUGCUGGGCGUUUGAGGGAUGCAUCGUGCACUGUAGGUAUUUGUGCUGGGAACCUUUUUUUAAUCCAGGGUUGUUAUAGAGAUUUGUGAUGACAAAACAAAGCCUCUGUGGCUGCACUGACAGGAAAAUCCACCCGCCAAACGGCUCCAUUUCUUGGAUUGGAGCGGCGUGUUUUAAGACGCCAGGCGCUUUACGGAGACGGCUAAGCCUCGCCACGGGCUAUGAGGAAUAGCAGGACUAACCACAGUGUCCAUCGCAGGUCCACCCAGGAUAAAGACAUGUAAUUAGCCGAUGCUCCUGACAGAGCGAGGUCAAUUUGAGGGCCACCUGGGAUCUCUCACAGACUGGAACAGCAGUGAUUGUAGAUCUUAAUUUAGCGUCUGAGAACAGAGGGGAGCAGGCGCAACCGUUUUUCUGGUGUUUUCCAGGCUUGUUCUGACAAAUGUUUUUUUUCAUUCGUGAUCUGGCGUUUUUGAUGAGAUAACCACCACUUCGAGAGGAGGAUUUCGUCUUUGCUUUGACCGCCUCCGCUUCUGACAAAAUUGCACGCAC